rnacentral:rRNA from 1 species
UAGGGAAUCUUCGGCAAUGGACGAAAGUCUGACCGAGCAACGCCGCGUGAGUGAAGAAGGUUUUCGGAUCGUAAAACUCUGUUGUUAGAGAAGAACAAGGACGUUAGUAACUGAACGUCCCCUGACGGUAUCUAACCAGAAAGCCACGGCUAACUACGUGCCAGCAGCCGCGGUAAUACGUAGGUGGCAAGCGUUUUCCGGAUUUAUUGGGCGUAAAGCGAGCGCAGGCGGUUUCUUAAGUCUGAUAUGAAGGCCCCCGGCUCAACCGGGGAGGGUCAUUGGAAACUGGGAGACUUGAGUGCAGAAGAGGAGAGUGGAAUUCGUUGUGUAGCGGUGAAAUGCGUAGAGAUAUGGAGGCACACGAGUGGGGAAGGCGGCUCUCUGGUCUGUACCUGACGCUAAGGCUGGAAAGCGUGGGAAGCAAACAGG